UACGUAGGGCGCAAGCGUUGUCCGGAAUUAUUGGGCGUAAAGAGCUCGUAGGCGGCUUGUCACGUCGGAUGUGAAAGCCCGAGGCUUAACCUCGGGUCUGCAUUCGAUACGGGCUAGCUAGAGUGUGGUAGGGGAGAUCGGAAUUCCUGGUGUAGCGGUGAAAUGCGCAGAUAUCAGGAGGAACACCGGUGGCGAAGGCGGAUCUCUGGGCCAUUACUGACGCUGAGGUGCGAAAGCGUGGGGAGCAAACAGG
rnacentral:rRNA from 1 species